UCCGGUUGAUCCUGCCGGACCUGACUGCUAUCGGAUUGGUACUAAGCCAUGCGAGUCAUUGUAGCAAUACAAGGCGGACGGCUCAGUAACACGUAGUCAACCUAACUCGUGGACGUGGAUAACCUCGGGAAACUGAGAAUAAACCACGAUAGAUCAUAGUGCCUGGAAUGGCUUAUGGUCCAAACAGUUUACUGCCAUGGGAUGGGACUGCGGCCUAUCAGCUUGUUGGUGAGGUAAUGGCCCACCAAGGCGAUUACAGGUACGGGCUCUGAGAGGAGAAGCCCGGAGAUGGGUACUGAGACACGGACCCAGGCCCUAUGGGGCGCAGCAGGCGAGAAACCUUAGCAAUGUGCGAAAGCACGACUGGGUCAGUCCGAGUGAUUCCUGAUAAAGGAGUCUUUUGCUUGUCCUAAACGCACAGGUGAAUAAGGGGUGGGCAAGUCUGGUGUCAGCCGCCGCGGUAAUACCAGCACCUCGAGUGGUCAGGACGUUUAUUGGGCCUAAAGCAUCCGUAGCCGGCUUUGCAAGUCUUCGGUUAAAUCCACCUGCUCAACAGAUGGGCCGCUGGAGAUACUACAAAGCUAGGGAGUGGGAGAGGCAGACGGUAUUCAGUGGGUAGGGGUAAAAUCCUCUGAUCCAUUGAGGACCACCAGUGGCGAAGGCGGUCUGCCAGAACACGUUCGACGGUGAGGGAUGAAAGCUGGGGGAGCAAACCGGAUUAGAUACCCGGGUAGUCCCAGCUGUAAACGAUGCAAACUCGGUGAUGCAUUGGCUUAUGGCCAAUGCAGUGCCGCACGGAAGCCGUUAAGUUUGCCGCCUGGGAAGUACGGACGCAAGUCUGAACUUAAAGGAAUUGGCGGGGGAGCACCACAGGGUGAAGCCUGCGGUUCAAUUGGACUCAACGCCGGA
rnacentral:rRNA from 1 species